rnacentral:rRNA from 1 species
CACGUUGAUACCUGCCCUAAAGUGGGGAAUAACUGGCCGAAAGGUCAGCUAAUACCGCAUGUGAUCCUUCGGGAUUAAAGACUUCGGUCGCUUUAGGAGGGGUCUGCGUCUGAUUAGCUAGUUGGUAGGGUAAAGGCCUACCAAGGCGACGAUCAGUAGCUGGUUCGAGAGGAUGACCAGCCACACUGGGACUGAGAUACGGCCCAGACUCCUACGGGAGGCAGCAGUAAGGAAUCUUCCACAAUGGACGAAAGUCUGAUGGAGCAAUGCCGCGUGCAGGAUGACGGCCUUCGGUGUAAC